rnacentral:lncRNA from 1 species
AACUUAGAAGAAUAUGUCAGGCUUGAUAUGAGUUAACUAAAGUUGUCUUCCAAUAAGUCUUUUAUAAGAAGAUGGAUAUCCAAAUGUGUUUCUUUAAUACUAGAUAACUUGGUAGUCGGACUGAAAGAAAUAUCAAAAGGUUUAGUUGUUAGAAACCAGAUUCCUCUAACAUUACAAGAGUUUACUUCCUUUUAUUAACAAAUAUAUAUGCAUUUAACUUGGAAAUUUCUAAGCCUAAACAAAUCUCAAUUUACCAAAAUCCUUGAUUUUAAUUAGUUGGUCU